rnacentral:lncRNA from 1 species
GGGGAAUGAUCUUCCCUUAUUCCAAAACUACAUUACUCCUUUCAUGAGAGAUACCUUCAAGAACACCCAAUCGCUAACCUCAAAAACCAACUCCCUACGCCUCACAUCCACAAGGAUAUUUGAUGAAUUUAGGCAUCUUUAAGUCUAUCUCAAAUCACCUUCACCUUCUUCAUUGCUUGGUGAACUAGAUAUGGGGGAAAAUCUUCGACUGGCCAACCUCAAACCACCUAAUUAGAGACCUACACCUCCAACCAUAUAAUCUUUUUAACUGAGCUAUCCCAAUUCUAGAGUGGUAGAUAUUAUUAUGCGUGAACUUUAUAAUAGGCAAAUAAUCAACCUGAUGAACACCAUAGUCAAUCAUAAAAACUCGAGGUAUAUCUUCCAAUGUCUAGAUAAUCCUUUUCGCUUGCCCCUCCGACUGCAGGUGAAAAGUAGUACUAAGGCUUACCUUAGUUCCCAAAACUCUCUGAAGUGAAUGCCAAAAAUGCGAUAAGAACUGAGUACCAUGAUCUGACAUGACAGAAACUGGCGCCC